rnacentral:sRNA from 1 species
GCUGGGCACAGUGGUGUUUGCCUGUAAUCCCUGCAAUUCAGGGGGCUGAGGCAGGAGAAUUGCACAUGAGAGGCCAGUCUCAGCAAUUUAGUGAGGCCCUAAGCAACUUAGUCAGAUUCUGUCUCAA